AGUUCGGUCCCUAUCCGCUGCGCGCGUAGGAAAUUUGAGAGGAUCUGACCCUAGUACGAGAGGACCGGGUUGGACGAACCUCUGGUGUGCCAGUUGUUCUGCCAAGAGCACCGCUGGUUAGCUACGUUCGGGAUGGAUAACCGCUGAAAGCAUCUAAGCGGGAAGCCGGCCUCAAGAUGAGAUUUCCAUGCCUUCGGGCGAGAGGCUCCCAGCCAGACUACUGGGUUGAUAGGCGAGAUGUGGAAGCGUGGUAACACGUGCAGCUGACUCGUACUAAUAAGCCGAUGACUUGAUAACACA
rnacentral:rRNA from 1 species